UACGGAGGGGGCUAGCGUUGUUCGGAAUUACUGGGCGUAAAGCGCACGUAGGCGGCUUUGUAAGUUAGAGGUGAAAGCCCAGGGCUCAACCCUGGAAUUGCCUUUAAGACUGCAUCGCUUGAAUCAUGGAGAGGUGAGUGGAAUUCCGAGUGUAGAGGUGAAAUUCGUAGAUAUUCGGAGGAACACCAGUGGCGAAGGCGGCUCACUGGCCCGAUACUGACGCUGAGGUGCGAAAGCGUGGGGAGCAAACAGGAUUAGAAACCCCAGUAGUCC
rnacentral:rRNA from 1 species